UACGUAGGGGGCAAGCGUUGUCCGGAAUCAUUGGGCGUAAAGAGCGUGUAGGCGGCCCGGUAAGUCUGUUGUGAAAGUCCAGGGCUCAACCCUGGAAUGCCGAUGGAUACUGCCGGGCUAGAGUUCGGAAGAGGCGAGUGGAAUUCCUGGUGUAGCGGUGGAAUGCGCAGAUAUCAGGAGGAACACCGGUGGCGAAGGCGGAUCUCUGGGCCUGUUCUGACGCUGAGGCGCGAAAGCUAGGGGAGCGAACAGG
rnacentral:rRNA from 1 species